CAACCUGGGAAUCCCAUUCUGCAAUCUGCAACAAUCACCACAAUCCCUCAAUCCGCAGCACAACUACAACAACAACAACAAGAACGCACCAGAACAGAAGAAGGGAGAAGAAGAAGGACAUAUCGUAUCAGAAGCCGAAGAGUAUCAGAAGUAGAAGCACAUUAGAACAGCAGCAGAAAAGGAUCGAAGAAGAAACGCAGAGGGAGAAGAAUAAAGAAUGAAUCGAAGCUGAGGAAUUCAAUACCUGCAAUUAAGGGGAGGAUCCUCAACUUGAGUUCUCAAUCUGCAAGCUUUUUUUUUCAAUCUUCAACCAGUUUUUUGCUUCAUAAACCUGCCGUGAGGCCUGUACCCCUGUCUCCAUUACUAUUAUUAAUCUAUUUAUUUUAUUUUAAUUAUUAAAUAAU
rnacentral:lncRNA from 1 species